CUCAUACCCUCCUCUAUCUCUCUCUCUCUCUCUCCAUCGGCGUCUCACACAAACACACGAGCACCACCACUUUCCAUUGUCCCUCCGAUCACCACCGAUAUCGUACGAGCUGGGAGUUCGAUUUCGAUUUUGAGCCAUGGAUUUGAUUUUCUUUGUGAGUUUCUAGGACUGAUCGGAGGAAGAUUCACUCAGGAAAUUUCAACAGAAAAUAGCUUGUGCAUUUCAUAAAAAUGGUUAGAUCUUUAUGAUACUUGAGGUUGGAAUAGAGAGUGAGGGUUUUGCAAUUUAUGAUGCUAUGAUGCAAUUAAAGAAUGAGAGCUUCUCAAAGCCACCAAUGGAUUAUCAAAGGCUAAUCUAAUCGGUGUUGGAAGCUAUGCUUCAGUUUACAAAGGG